UACGUAGGUCCCGAGCGUUGUCCGGAUUUAUUGGGCGUAAAGCGAGCGCAGGUGGUUUAUUAAGUCUGGUGUAAAAGGCAGUGGCUCAACCAUUGUAUGCAUUGGAAACUGGUAGACUUGAGUGCAGGAGAGGAGGGUGGAAUUCCAUGUGUAGUGGUGAAAUGCGUAGAUAUAUGGAGGAACACCGGUGGCGAAAGCGGCUCUCUGGCCUGUAACUGACACUGAGGCUCGAAAGCGUGGGGAGCAAACAGG
rnacentral:rRNA from 1 species